GCCACUGCUAUUGGGGUUCGGCUAAGUCAUGCGAGUGGAGGGCGUCCCGCAAGGGAUGGCCCCGCAGACGGCUCAGUAACACGUCGUCAACCCACCUUAGGGUGGGGGACAACCUCGGGAAACUGAGGAUAAUCCCCCAUAGGCGGGGGAGGCUGGAAUGCGCCCCCGCUGAAAGCUCAGGCGCCCUAGGACGGGACGGCGGCCUAUCAGGUAGUUGGUGGUGUGACG
rnacentral:rRNA from 1 species